CUAACCUUAGUUUAAUUAGAAUAUCGGUUUUGGGGAUCGACGGUCUCCUAAGGAGAGGUUUGA
rnacentral:tRNA from 2 species